GGCGGAUUAGCUCAGCUGGUUAGAGCGCGUGCCUUACAAGCAUGAGGUCGCUGGUUCGAUCCCAGCAUUCGUCA
rnacentral:tRNA from 2 species